GACGAACGCUGGCGGCGUGCUUAACACAUGCAAGUCGAACGCUGAACCCGCUUCGGUGGGGGAUGAGUGGCGAACGGGUGAGUAACACGUGGGCAACCUGCCCCCGGCUCUGGGAUAACUCCAAGAAAUUGGGGCUAAUACCGGAUGUGACCACUGGCCGCAUGGUCUGGUGGUGGAAAGGGUUUCCGGCUGGGGAUGGGCCCGCGGCCUAUCAGCUUGUUGGUGGGGUAGUGGCCUACCAAGGCGACGACGGGUAGCCGGCCUGAGAGGGUGACCGGCCACACUGGGACUGAGACACGGCCCAGACUCCUACGGGAGGCAGCAGUGGGGAAUAUUGCGCAAUGGGCGGAAGCCUGACGCAGCGACGCCGCGUGGGGGAUGACGGCCUUCGGGUUGUAAACCUCUUUCAGCAGGGACGAAGCGCAAGUGACGGUACCUGCAGAAGAAGCACCGGCCAACUACGUC
rnacentral:rRNA from 1 species